GUUUGAUCUAAUUGAAGAAUUGGUGAGUAUUCCCGCCUGUCACGCGGGUGACCCGGGUUCGAUCCCCGGCAACAGCGCCA